rnacentral:rRNA from 1 species
UGGGGAAUAUUGGACAAUGGGGGCAACCCUGAUCCAGCAACGCCGCGUGGGGGAUGAAGGUCCUAGGAUUGUAAACCCCUGUUGGGAGGGACGAAGGCUUGCGGGCGAAUAGUCCGUACGCUUGACGGUACCUGAGGAAUAAGCCACGGCUAACUACGUGCCAGCAGCCGCGGUAAUACGUAGGUGGCAAGCGUUGUCCGGAUUUACUGGGCGUAAAGAGCGCGCAGGCGGCUGGGUCAGUCCGAUGUGAAAGCUUCCGGCUUAACUGGGAAAUAGCAUCGGAAACUGCUCAGCUUGAAGGUGGGAGAGGGUAGCGGAAUUCCCGGUGUAGUGGUGAAAUGCGUAGAUAUCGGGAGGAACACCAGUGGCGAAGGCGGCUACCUGGCCCAUUCUCGACGCUGAGGCGCGAAAGCUAGGGGAGCAA